UUGGGGAUAUUCUCUGUGAGCUGGCCUCCCAGAUUGAUACAGAAAAUGUUUCCCUGUUUAAUAUCAGCCGGAAUCACCUAUGGGAAGGUGCGAAAUGAGGCUUUAAAAAAAAAACUUUCUUACCUUGCAAAAGAGUUUGGGUGAAAUUUAUGGACGAUAUAGGAGUGAGCGAAGGAGCCGUCGACCUCGGAGGGCCAAGGAGAGUUUUUUUAACCAUGCUAAUGGAGUCCUUGCACCAAGGAGGCCUCUUUGUGGGACCAGACCAUGCCAAGUUCCUAAACUACAUUAGUGGAUUGAUGGUCUCAGAUGACAAUUUUUAUGCGGGUAUGACUAUUGCAACAUCACUGGUUCAUGGAGGACCUGGCCCACAGUUCUUAUCACCAGUACUUUUGGAGGCGCUUUCAAGUACACCCGAGUCCACAUUUGUGGCAGUGCAAGAUAUCCCUGAUAUGGACAUAAGGAACUAUCUGGAGAAGCUUCUAACUUACCAGGAUGAACAUUCAAACAC